AUCCUGGCUCGGGACGAACGCUGGCGGCGUGCCUAAUACAUGCAAGUAGAACGCUGAAGGAAGGAGCUUGCUCUUUCCGGAUGAGUUGCGAACGGGUGAGUAACGCGUAGGUAACCUGCCUGGUAGCGGGGGAUAACUAUUGGAAACGAUAGCUAAUACCGCAUAAGAGUAGAUAUCGCAUGAUAGCUGCUUAAAAGGUGCAAUUGCACCACUACCAGAUGGACCUGCGUUGUAUUAG
rnacentral:rRNA from 1 species